rnacentral:lncRNA from 1 species
UGGGGGCUGGGGAAGGUUCAAUAGCUGAACUUGAGACCAGAACGCGAGAGCCUUGGAGUAAAGGAGUUCUAGAGUUGAGUUUGGAGCCGUGAGAAGGGAUUCUAAGUCGAGGGAACGUCAGGAACCGUUUUUGAAGAGCUAGCUAAGGAGAAAACUGUAAUGGGAGAUAAAUCUGUGUUUUUUGUUCUAAUCGAAUUUGUUUAUGGUCUUAGAAUGAG